GCGUUUUGAACCUGAACCCGACGUUGUAGAAAAACGAUUCUUAUAUCAGAUUGAAUAAUUUGCGCAGCAUCCUCUGAGCUGCCAUUUGUACAGUACCGUGCUGGUUGCCGGGUUCAAGUGCGUCCGCCGUCCGCACGUUAAGUCAGUCGGUGCUACGCAGUUGUGGGGAGUGCACGUGUUAUUUUUCUCCGUCGAUCUUCAUCGCGACUGUUAGCAAUUCUGUUGUUUUAAUGGUACAAGCAUUAGAAUCGUUUGCCAUCGACUAAUGACUAAGUGAUUUAUCGCGAAUUGACUCCAGAAUUAAGAGACCUCCCCAUGUGUAUGCCAUUGGCAACCGGUCGUCGGAUCUCUCUCGUUCCAAUUGGACUUUCUGGUCAACAUUAUUCAAUUGCUAAUUCGUGAACAUAAAUUACGCGUUAUCUCCGUGUGGUAUUGUUGCCAUUGCAAAAGUAAUACAGUAAGUAGAAUCAUAAAUUCUACUUUGUGCGCUUUGGAACUUCAUAAAUGGAACAACAAAGGAGUAUAUAUUAUAACAGCAGGUACAAAAUUUCUUCUGUUAAAUUUUACUGAUACAUUUGCAUUAAUUUUAUAGUACAUGUAAUAAUACUGUUCUGUAAAUAAAGGAUAAUUUAAUCUUAA